UACGAAGGGGGCUAGCGUUGCUCGGAAUCACUGGGCGUAAAGGGUGCGUAGGCGGGUCUUUUAAGUCAGGGGGUGAAAUCCUGGAGCUCAACUCCAGAACUGCCUUUGAUACUGAAGAUCUUGAGUUCGGGAGAGGUGAGUGGAACUGCGAGUGUAGAGGUGAAAUUCGUAGAUAUUCGCAAGAACACCAGUGGCGAAGGCGGCUCACUGGCCCGAUACUGACGCUGAGGCACGAAAG
rnacentral:rRNA from 1 species